UGAGGAAUAUUGGUCAAUGGGCGAGAGCCUGAACCAGCCAAAUCGCGUGAAGGAAGACUGCCUUAUGGGUUGUAAACUUCUUUUAUACAGGAAUAAAAAAGGGGACGUGUCCCUUAUUGCAUGUACUGUAUGAAUAAGCAUCGGCUAACUCCGUGCCAGCAGCCGCGGUAAUACGGAGGAUGCGAGCGUUAUCCGGAUUUAUUGGGUUUAAAGGGUGCGCAGGCGGGCUUUUAAGUCAGCGGUGAAAUCUCGGGGCUUAACUCCGAAACUGCCGUUGAAACUGGGAGUCUUGAGUAUGGAUGAAGUAGGCGGAAUUCGUUGUGUAGCGGUGACAUGCUUAGAUAUAACGAGGAACUCCGAUUGCGUAGGCAGCUUACUAAGCCAUAACUGACGCUCAAGCACGAAAGCGUGGGGAUCAAACAGGAUUAGAUACCCUGGUAGUCCACGCCGUAAACGAUGAUUACUAGUUGUAUGCGAUAUACCGUAUGUGACUAAGCGAAAGCGAUAAGUAAUCCACCUGGGGAGUACGCCGGCAACGGUGAAACUCAAAUGAAUUGACGGGGUCAUAGCUG
rnacentral:rRNA from 1 species